GACGAACCGAGCGGACGUUGUUCGGAAUCACUGGGCUUAAAGGGCGCGUAGGCGGGCAUCAUAGUCUGUGGUGAAAUCCGGCAGCUUAACUGUCGAAUUGCCAUGGAUACUGGGUGUCUCGAGGGAGGCAGGGGUGCGCGGAACUGAUGGUGGAGCGGUGAAAUGCGUUGAUAUCAUCAGGAACUCCGGUGGCGAAGGCGGCGCACUGGUCCUUUUCUGACGCUGAGGCGCGAAAGCCAGGGGAGCAAACGGG
rnacentral:rRNA from 1 species